rnacentral:rRNA from 1 species
UAAGUUUCAACAACGGAUCUCUUGGCUCUCGCAUCGAUGAAGAACGCAGCGAAAUGCGAUAAGUAAUGUGAAUUGCAGAAUUCAGUGAAUCAUCGAAUCUUUGAACGCACCUUGCGCUCCUUGGUAUUCCUUGGAGCAUGCCUGUUUG